UACGUAGGUGACAAGCGUUGUCCGGAUUUACUGGGCGUAAAGAGCGCGCAGGCGGUCGAUCAAGUCGAGUGUGAAAGCCCCCGGCUCAACUGGGGAGGGUCAUUCGAUACUGAUCGACUCGAAGGCAGGAGAGGGUAGUGGAAUUCCCGGUGUAGUGGUGAAAUGCGUAGAUAUCGGGAGGAACACCAGUGGCGAAGGGCGACUACCUGGCCUGUUCUUGACGCUGAGGCGCGAAAGCUAGGGGAGCAACGGG
rnacentral:rRNA from 1 species